AAAGAUUUAGUUAAAUAAUAACAUUAGAAUGUCAAACUAAAAUUAUCAUUAGAUAAUCUUUU
rnacentral:tRNA from 1 species